rnacentral:rRNA from 1 species
CCGCGGGAUUAGAGUUUGAUCCUGGCUCAGAGCGAACGCUGGCGGCGUGCUUAACACAUGCAAGUCGAACGCGCAGCAUUCUGUAGCAAUACAGGGUGUGGGCGCGUGGCGAACGGGUGCGUAACACGUGGAUAACCUUCCUUGAGGUGGGGAAUAACCCAGUGAAAAUUGGGCUAAUACCGCAUAACAUCGCGAUGGCACAUGCUGAUGCGAUCAAAGGCGCAAGUCGCCACAAGAGGGAUCCGCGGCCGAUUAGCUUGUUGGCGAGGUAAUGGCUCACCAAGGCAAUGAUCGGUAGCCGGACUGAGAGGUUGGCCGGCCACACUGGAACUGAGACACGGUCCAGACUCCUACGGGAGGCAGCAGUGGGGAAUCUUGCACAAUGGACGAAAGUCUGAUGCAGCAACGCCGCGUGGGGGAUGAAGCUUCUCGGAGUGUAAACCCCUUUCGACCCGGAAGAAUGCCCGCAAGGGUAUGACGGUACGGGUAUAAGAAGCCCCGGCUAACUACGUGCCAGCAGCCGCGGUAAUACGUAGGGGGCCAGCGUUGCUCGGAAUUACUGGGCGUAAAGGGUCCGUAGGCGGUGUAGCAAGUCGAUAGUGAAAUCUCUGGGCUUAACCCAGAGGCUGCUAACGAAACUGCUGUGCUAGAGUGUGAGAGAGGCGAGUGGAAUUACGGGUGUAGCGGUGAAAUGCGUAGAUAUCCGUAGGAACAUCCGAGGCGAAGGCGGCUCGCUGGAUCACAACUGACGCUGAGGGACGAAAGCUAGGGGAGCAAACAGGAUUAGAUACCCUGGUAGUCCUAGCCCUAAACCAUCAGGACUUGGGGUUUGCCCUGUACGGGGCAAGUCCCGUAGCUAACGCG